rfam:Stegodyphus mimosarum contig13018, whole genome shotgun sequence.
GCCUUCGUGGUGUAGUGGUCAGCACGCUCGACGCGUAACCGAGAGGUCUGUGGAUUCGAUUCCCGGCGAAGGCA